UGCAGGUAUCUGUAUUUUAAACAAAAUUAUGGUUGGCAGUAAAGGAUAAACAUUCAGGGAUUCUUCUUGGAAAAUCUAAAUUCAAAACUUUCAAUGUAAAAUUGAAAGUCCGCUUUAAUACAUUUGAAAUGAUUUACUACAAAAACACAGGAGUAAAUGACGCAUAUUAACGAUUUAGCGGGGAAGAUAUUUGCAACUGUAUUUGAUACGAAUAUAAUAAUAUACUGCAAGCUUAGGGUUUACUCAAUUUAAAGCCAAUGUUAUACCGAAUUUGGAUGUCAAUAAUCCGUAAAGAUUAAAUGGUUUGAUAAACAGGAAGUAAAAGAUGAUACACAUGUGCAAGGAUGAAAAUAUUGAUGAAUAAUGUUACCAGGAUGAAAAAUCCCAGGAUUCGUAUGGAACGCCACGGCAACAUCAUCAGCCAGAUAUGACAGAGAAAAGACGUAGAAAAUUACAUGAAAUUGAGGAGUACAGUGACUCUCCUAGCAGAUCACAGAUCAAGCUCACAGUUCUCAAGAUUACAAAAAUUGCGUGUUUUUCUCAUGAUGAUUAAAAAAACUGAUUGAUAUUACUGAUGUUUAAUUAUAGCAAAAGCAUUCGUACACAAUUAAGUUUAAAUGGAAGUUAAAAAAUUGAGUAAUAAUAAAUAAAAGGGUUGCAAUCGAAUUUUUUGUUGAAAUAUUGUAGUCCUAAAAGGUCACGAAGGUCAAGGUCGAGGUCACGAUCUCAACAAUAGAGGUCAAGGUCAAGGAGUCCAAGCAAACAACGACGAAAAUCGAAGAAAAACAAACACAGAGACUAAUUCUAAAUUGUUCUUGUCAUUUUGUUUUACAUGGAAAAAUGUGUUUAUACUUUUCUUUAAAAGUCAUUUGCUAAUUUGUACAUGUACAUUUCUGGAUAUACCAUGCGCUGAAUUUCACUUUGACUCUAGAUUAAAACGUAAUUUUAUUACAGCUGCUUCAAAACUUAAACAGUGCUCUUCAACUUCAUUACCAGUAUGGUUAAAAUUAGCACAAGACUAAUUUUGUUUAUAAAGAUUGACUACAAGAACAAAUUUUAAGCUGCUGUUGACUAUAAAUAAAGACUUGUUUCUUCAACUUGACAACAGUACAGUCAUACCUUUUCUAAACUUGAAUGUUUGUUUAAAGAAUGAAAUAUCAUAUGAUAUAUUCAAAAACAUUAAUGCAAAACUGAAAGUUGUAAUAUCCCUGUGUGAACAUAAAACAGACUUGUGAGUGUUGUGAAAGGAACACAAUUAUGUCUCUAAAAUGUAUGAAAUCAGAUGUGUAUUAUAAUUAUUCUCAUGCAUUUUAUUGCAUGUUUGUUGAAUUUCAGAACUUUCUGUAUGCUUGGAGAUCUUAAUAGUAAAUUCUAACACGAUCCGCAGCAACUGCUAUAUAAAUAUAUAGCGAAAUCGCCUAUACAUGAAUCUACGAUAAAAUAUACGAUAUGGUUGGCUGUUACAUUUCACCCCCUAUGAUUGUGACAUAAGAGAUUCUACUUCAGUUGCAUUACAUACGAAUUAUUGCAUGGCCAAACGGUUGAAAACAGCAUUUCAAAAACAUAAAUAUGAUAAAAGUCAUACUGACUUAUGUGUAGGACCGUAAAACACGUUCUGAUCUCUUCGAGCGAAUUCAAUUAGCUCAAUUAAGAUUCAGCGGUGACGUCAUAAAUGUAUGACAUAAAGUAUGACGUCAUAAUGAUGUGACGUCAUAUAAAAGUUAAGCUCGUCACUCGUAACACAGAGUCAACUCGCCAAAUUUGAUGAUUCUGUUCAUAAUUAGUUUGCGAGCUGUUAGAUUACUAAUUUAUAAAUACUUCUCCAAAUUCUGAUAAAAAGAAACAAAUAUCUAUACGUUCCAUUGGCUAUGCAACACUUUCUAACCAUAGGGGGUAAAUUGUAACAGCAUAUGACCCGAAUGACGUAUUACGCUGAAAAUGCAGUACUGUAAAAUGCCAAUUAUUUGCGUUGUUAGAAUCGAAAUAAUAAAUAUGUUCCAAUCAUUUUAUCAAUUAAUAAAACAUGGGCAGUCGUUUGGAUGCGAAUAAUUAAA